rnacentral:lncRNA from 1 species
AGAACCAAGACAAUAAUGGACUGAUUUUAUAAAAAACCUUCAACAUUAAACUCACAGACUUCACUCAUAUUCAUAUACCAUUUUUACACAUGCUGAUAUAUUAAACGUAGAAUAGUUAAACUUACAUAUGCUUAUGCUUCAUACAUUAGCCUUAAAAUACCACACACAAUCACUAGUUCUACAUUACUAUUGCAUAAGAGACCAUAUGACCCAUUUCAAAAGAGUAUUGCAUCAUUAAAAACAAGUCCAGUUACAUCCCAAUUCAGCAGAAAGAAAUAGAGUAAGCAUGCUGAUUCUCUUCAUGGUUUCAACCUUAACUAUUACACAGAACAUUUAUAGCAUGAAUUAUUAAGUGUUGGUCACUAAAUAAUCUAAUAGGCGAGGGAUUAACACAUCACAUGUACACAUGAUGAAAAGGAGAUGAGAGGGGCAGAGUAAAUUAGAAGAAUAUACAGCUCAAAAGCCAUGUACAAACUGAAAUCCAAAUAAAAUAUUCUUUUUUAGCUUCUGCACUUCAGUGGUCAUUACAGCUGAAGAAAUACCUAAUUAUAGCAGCAAAAUAAAGAAAAUGAGUUGGAAUGGGAGCAAACAACAACAAAUAUCAACAACACCAACACAAGCUAGAUAACAAGGAGAUUCAGUCCCUUCAAGUCAUUCUGAGCCCAAAAUGAAUCAAAUAUUGCUUCAACUUUAAAAUCCAAAGAAUUACCCAAAGAGCCUCAAUGAAAUAGUAUUUUGUGCUAUUUUUUGUUAGUAUUUCUUCUUCUGAUUAUUCAAAAUUUUAAUGUUUGUGUGUUUUUUAGCCGUUUCUAAUUUCUCAAGUUUGAUUCCUACUCAUUCAACUGAAAAACAACCUUACAUAGAAGGCUUUUAGGGCAAAAGAAAUAAUUUUGCUAAUUAUUAGUUACCCCCUUCCAAAUUUCCUUUUUGUUCAACUAGCAACUGAACUUUAAACUCAAUUACUGAAUUGCCCAUUUUCCUCUUUCUUAGAAGCUUCCCAAUCGGCUAUAGUAAGAUUCCCUAGGACAAUUCCCUAAAUUACCCUUUUAAACCUCUGUUAUUUACCCUCCCAGUCUAGACGAACUAUGGGUCAGGCCUACCCAAACAACAAAAUUCUAGGGCUACUGAUAAGACGGGUCAAAAUAAAUCGAGGGCCCAAGAAUUCCAUCCAACCCGUGAGUAUUCUAAGACCCAAAACCCUGACCAAACAAAUUAGCACUCAAACGAUAGCCCCAAAAAAAUUCAAUCAAUUAAUACAAAUUAUGAAAAAAUCGAGUUAAUAUUAUCCCUUUAACAAAUAUUAUCCAAUAUUAACUUAUGGCUACUGCUUAUAUGAAUUUAAAAUAAUUAGAGAUAGAAAUAAGGGGUAAAGAAAAGAAAAAGAAAGAAUAAAGAUGGAGGAGAAACGUAAUCCAGAAAAGACAUGGACAAGGAAUACUUGAGGUCGAAGACAAACGGGCUUGAAAGGCUUGUCCGACAACUUCCAAUUUGAUCCAAAACUGGUAUUAGUCGUAUGUUCUCUUUGAGAGCACAUGAACAAUACCAGUUUCAAGUCCAAUCGUUCAUAGAAAACUUGAAAGCUUGAAAGAUUUUCUUUUCUCGAUUUUUUUAGAUUUGAAACUGGCCCGAUUUGGUGAGUAUUUGGGGAGAAAUGGUGGUGGAUUGGGACUCAAGGAUGGGUGGUGGUUGUAUGGUUGGAUAUUGGUGGUGGUUUGAGCUCCGCUGCCAGCCGAAAAUGGUGAAGAAGUUUAGGGCGGUGGGUCUUAGGAUUAGAGAUGAGGUCAAGAAGAUGAAGUAUAUAGAUACGAGGUUCUCUGUAAC